CCCGCUCAACUUUAAUACUUAUGUACAAAUACACCCCUCAACUUUAAAACUUAUGUAUCAACUAUCCCUCUCAAAUUUAACACUUACGUGCAAAUACCCCUUCAAAUUUAAAAAUUAUUUGCAAAUUAAAUUAAAUAUUAUGUGCAAAGAUUACUUCAAAUAUUUGAAGACUAAUUUUAACAAAGUUUUUUCAAAUAUGAGACUUUUUUGUAUAAAAUUUGUCACAAAACAAUAAUUUUAAACUUUGCUAGAGAACUUAAAUGAAUGAAAGCUAAGGAACUCAUGUCAUGCCCUCCUGUUAUUGAGAUACUUUGAUGAACAACCAACUGGGAAGAUUCAUUUCAAGAGUGUUGCGGGUAUCACCAAGACUUUCCCUCUUGAAGCUUUUGCUGGUGGCCAAUAAUCAUAUCAUAUGAAUUAAUUAAUGUUAUGAUAAUCUGCCAAGCCUAAAUAGAUGUUUGGUAUAAAAUAAAAGAAUAAUAGUUUUCUUUCUAUGUUUUAUUUGGUGUAAAUGGAUUUAAUUCAUGCUAUAUAUGAUAUAGUAAAGGGAUUUAGUUUCAACUCAGUUUGCAAAAGUUUUAAAUUCAUUUUUGUUAAGAAGGAAAAUUCUAAAGUAACUAAAUUCCUAAGGGAAAACAAAGCACCAGCUUGGCUAAAGGAUUACUACCGUUACUAAGUAAAAGAGGGGGGUACCCUUAGUGCUCAACCUUGUUUUUAUUAUAUAUCUAGUAGUUGAAUUAAUAAGCCUAGGGCCCAUUACUGUGUUGACCUAGCUAUAUAUUGUAACAGACUCUCUAGAACAGAGUAUGAAAUGAAUUGCAGCUUUUAUGUUUAUUUUUCUUGCAACCAUAGAUCUAGUGUUAUCUGUAGCGUAUUCUAUCAUUGGUGCUUCCAUUGAUUUGAACUUCCCAUGCCACCUAAACCUUCGAUUCCAACUCCUAAGGACUUGGAUGAUGCCAUCCAAGCCACCAACGACAACCUCCAUUCCGCCAUCCAAGCCACCCAUCAGCACAUGGAUGACCGUUUCCAAGCCGCCGACGCUAACCUAGAGGCGAAACUCCAUCAGAUGCAGACACGGAUGGAGAAUCAAGAUCACCUCCAAGCAACUCGACAUGAAUCGCUCAAAUCCUACCUUGCUGACCUCCUCACACAACACCACCAACCGACCGUUUCCUCCAACACGGCCGCACCAUCAUCGGCGUUAACUUCUACGUCCCAAUCACGACCCCAGCCCACCACUGUAAGUUCCACCAAUAUACCUUCUCCUUUCUCACUCCAGUACCUGUCUUCACCAGCACAAUCACCACUUUCCACAAACACCCCUCUCACAUCCUUGUCCACACCCAUUUUUACUUCCUCUCACAUGCCUAUUUUUACCCAGACCACCAGAUUACACACCCACUCUCCAAACACACAAUUACACCAACAACCGUAUCCGACUUACACUGAAUUUCCACAACACUCCUACAACCAAAUAUACCAACAGCAACAACAAACACGACCUUUUCCAAUCUUUCCUUCACAAUUCUCACCAUUUUCGUCUCAUAACCCAAGCCCCCCUUCAUUUCGCACACCCAAAUUAGAACUUUCCAUGUUUGAUGGAACCGACCCCCUCGAAUGGCUUUUUCAAGCGGAACAAUUUUUUACGUUUUACCAAAUUCCAGUAGAGAGUCGUUUACCCAUGUCCUCUUUCUACAUGAAGGGCGAUGCUUUGUGUUGGUUUAAGUGGAUGUACCAAAAUCGCCAAUUGUUCGAUUGGACGACAUUUACCAGAGCACUUGAAUUACGUUUCGGCCCCUCUACCUACGCCAAUCACCAAGCCGAACUAUUCAAGCUUCGACAAAGUGGAAGUGUGUCCGAAUACCAAGCACAGUUUGAGAAGCUUGGCAAUCGUGUUGUUGGGUUGCCUGCUGAAGCCCUUCUCAAUUGCUUCAUUUCGGGACUGAUACCGGACAUCCGCAAUGAGAUGGCAAUUCAACGACCUUCCUCCAUUGCACAAGCAAUAGGUCUUGCCAAACUAAUCGAGGCCAAAAUCAAAGAUUCAAAACCCCGUUUCUCUAAACCGUUCACCCCCCCCCCCCCCUCCAAUUUUACACGACCCUCAACUACGGCUCUCUCCCAUACUUCCGCACCCCAACCCACACAAAACCCUCCACCUUCCACUAAUCCACCCAAACCACAAGCAGCAAAUCCCACUAAACUACCUAUCAAACGUUUCACCCAAACCCAACUACAAGAACGCCGAGCCCUUGGCCUUUGUUAUAACUGUGACGAGAAGUUCAUUCCCGGUCACAAAUGCGCCGCCGACAAAUUCCUAUUACUCCUUAUUGAUGAGGAUGAUGAUACUACGGAAAUACCCGAGGAAACCGAACUAGAGGAUGAAACUUCCUUGGAACAAUCCAACACCUACUUUCAAUUAUCACCCCAAGCCCUCACCGGUCAAAUUUCACCACAAACCCUCAAAUUCCAAGCCCACAUACAAGGCCUUCCCGUCAUGGUCCUCGUUGACACCGGUAGUACCCACAACAUUCUUCAACCACGCAUAGCUGCACACUUACACCUCAAAACCGAACCCAUUCGCAAAUUCUCCGUUAUGGUAGGAAAUGGCUCUCACCUAGAUUGUCAAGGCUUUAGCCCUCAUGUUCCUAUAAACCUCCAAACACACAAACUUUGACCUUCCCUUCUAUCUCUUUCCCAUACAAGGUGCAGAUGUUGUUUUAGGAAUGGCUUGGCUCCGCACUUUGGGACCUAUUUUCGCUGAUUUCUCCAUACCCUCUAUUUCCUUCCAACAUAACAGUGAAAUAAUCACCUUGCAAGGCGACCCCAAAGCUCAACCCACUCAAUCUACCUACACCCAAGUCUGCCAUUUUCUCCACAUGGAUGCUGUUGCAUCUCUUCACCUUCUCACCUUCGAAACAGUCCAAAAACCGUCAUUCCCUGAUUCAUCACCACCUUCAUCUACUCCCGAAGUUGACUCUCUCCUCUCAAAAUUCCCAACGGUAUUCCAGACUCCUCAUGGUUUGCCCCCAUCCCGAACCCAUGAUCAUCACAUCCCUCUACUCCCUCAAACCUCACCCGUUAACGUCAAACCUUACCGAUACCCACACUCCCAAAAAGGCACAAUGACAUCAAUUAUCCAGGACAUGUUAAAAGAAGGAACUAUCAUCCCUAGCACCAGCCCCUUCUCAUCCCCCGUCUUACUUGUCCGAAAAAAAGAUGGCACUUGGCGUUUUUGUGUGGACUAUCGGGCCCUAAAUGCUGUUACCGUCAAAGACCGCUUUCCCAUUCCCACUAUUGACGAACUACUUGAUGAGUUAGGCACAGCAUCUGUUUUUUCAAAGAUAGAUUUACGCUCCGGAUAUCAUCAGAUCAGAGUUGCACAGGAAGACACUCAUAAAACUGCUUUUCGGACAUUUGAUGGGCAUUAUGAAUUCCUGGUAAUGCCCUUUGGGCUUUCUAACGCUCCCUCUACUUUCCAAUCUGCUAUGAAUGAUCUCUUACGACCACAUUUGCGUCGUUUUGUGCUUGUUUUCUUUGAUGAUAUUUUAAUUUAUAGCAAAAAUAUGACUGACCAUUUAAAUCAUUUGCAUAUCAUUCUGGAAUUGCUGGCUACAAAUCACUAUGUCGCCAAACUUUCUAAGUGUGUGUUCGCAGUGCAUACGGUUCAUUAUUUGGGUCAUGUCAUAUCGGCAAAUGGAGUGGCACCAGAUCCGGAAAAGGUAGAAGCAAUCACAGAUUGGCCUGUUCUGCGCACAAUUACAGCUUUACGAGGAUUUUUGGGGCUAACAGGUUUUUACAGGCGGUUUGUCCGCAGUUACGCCACUCUUGCCUCACCACUCACAGAUUUAUUAAGGGGUACAAAAUUUCAAUGGAGUUUAGAAGCUGAUCAAGCUUUUACAAAUUUAAAACUACACAUGACUACAAUGCCGGUACUUCAUCUUCUAGAUUUCUCCAAAAUCUUCGUGGUCGAAACCGACGCCUCCCAAGUAGCCAUUGGAGCGGUUCUCUCACAAGAUGGUCACCCUUUGGCUUUCUUCAGCAAAAAAAUGAAUCCCAAAAUGCAGGCUGCCUCUGUGUAUGUACGUGAAAUGUACGCUGUUACAGAAGCAGUAAAGAAAUGGCGUCAAUAUCUUAUUGGGCAACAAUUUCACAUUUUCACAGAUCAAAAGAGCCUCAAAAACUUGCUCCUUCAAAAAAUUCAAACACCCGAGCAACAACAAUGGGCUUCCAAACUGCAAGGGUUUAAUUUUGAAAUAUACUACAAACCUGGCAAGACAAAUCAGGCUGCAGAUGCUUUAAGCAGAAAAUUCUCAAAUGACGAGCCUCUCCUUUUCGCGUUGACUUCUCCAGUGCCACAAAUUCUAAGCAAGUUCAAGCAGUACUAUAACCAACAAGGUCAUGAUCUGGUACAUACCCUGCUGGCAACAAACACAGAGUCACAAUUAUACAAAUUCACAAAAGGGUUACUAUAUUACAAGGAUCGGUUAUUUGUACCAAAAUUCAAAGACUGGCGCCUUAAGCUAUUGACCGAAUAUCACUCAACACCCUUAGCUGGACAUUCAGGCGUCCAACCAACAGUAUCCCGCCUUGCUGCCUCCUUCAACUGGCCUGGUCUGUACACUGAUGUCAAAGAAUUUGUUAGACUUUGUGUCACCUGCCAACAAAACAAAUAUCAAACACAGAAGAAAAUGGGACUCCUUCAACCCCUACCUACACCAUCUCAAGUCUGGGAGGAGCUCUCCAUGGAUUUCAUCACCCAUUUGCCCAACUCUUUUGGUCACACCGCCAUAUGGGUCAUUUGCGACCGUCUUACUAAAUAUGUCCAUUUCAUAGCACUGCCAACAAAGUUCACCGCCUCAGACCUGGCUCACCGGUUCUCUGUUGAAAUCUGCCGCUUACAUGGCAUUCCUAAGUCCAUUGUAUCGGACCGUGACCCUCUUUUCCUCAGUAACUUCUGGAAGGCACUUUUUAAAGCACAAGGAACUCAGUUGAAAUACAGCACAGCUUAUCAUCCAGAAUCGGAUGGUCAAACAGAAGUUGUAAACAGAACUCUAGAAUCUUACCUCCGGUGUUUUGUUAGUGAGCAACCCAGACACUGGUACAAGUUCCUGCAUCUAGCAGAAUUCUGGCACAACUCCACAGUGCAUUCAGCAAUCAAGAUGGCUCCGUUUGAAGCCCUUUAUGGUAGACAGCCACCAACCAUUCCAGACUAUGUUCCUGGUAACACCACCAUCACAACCUUAGACGAAUCAUUGAAAAACAGACAGGAAAUUCUCAACCGCCUCAAAGCAAAUCUUCACAGCGCAAGGAAAAGCAUGGAAAAACAAGCAAACAAAAAAAGACGCAAUUUUACCUUCCAAAUUGGAGAUCAGGUGCUCCUCCGACUACAACCUUACCGGCAAACCACCGUCAACCGCCGCACCUCUCAGAAGUUAUCCAAGUGUUUCUUUGGACCGUUCAAGAUAACUGAACGCGUUGGAUCUGUUGCAUACCGCCUUGACCUUCCACCGGAAUCUCGUAUACACCCAGUGGUCCACAUCUCCAUGUUACGACCAUACUACGGUGGCGAAGACCUUCCUCUUCCUCCACCAGAUGACUCAACAACGGCACAGGUUCCAGAGGAUGCAGGAGAUGCACCCAAAAAUAAGGAUGAACAAGCCUCAAUAUUUCAGAAGAAGGAAGAAGAAAAGAAACUUUCAGAUGACAAGGGAAAGUUGAAGUACACAAAUGACAGAAACUCUUCACUUCAAACCCCUAAGUCUGCUUCAGAUCUAAGCCCCAACACAUCCUUACCGUUGGAUACAACUAUUGCCCUUUCUCCAAAUAAAUCCCAGCCACCCGUUCAAAACCCCACUAUUGCACCACAGCUGUCUUCCAAUAAUUCUGAUCCAUCCACUUACACGUGCUCCAACAGUCCCCCUCUCCCCAAACCUGCUCACGCGACCGUUAAGAUUAACCCACUCAAAUCCGGACCAUCCAAAAUUCAGCUAGUGGAUUCAACAACUUUGACCAAGCCACCAACCAUUAUCACCAAUCAGAACCCACCACGUGGCGAGCCGAACCUUGAGGACAAGGUUCUCAAUAACCAGGGGAGUAUUGUUAAGAAGGAAAAUUCUAAAGUAACUAAAUUCCUAAGGAAAAACAAAGCACCAGCUUGGCUAAAGGAUUACUACCGUUACUAAGUAAAAGAGGGGGGUACCCUUAGUGCUCAACCUUGUUUUUAUUAUAUAUCUAGUAGUUGAAUUAAUAAGCCUAGGGCCCAUUACUGUGUUGACCUAGCUAUAUAUUGUAACAGACUCUCUAGAACAGAGUAUGAAAUGAAUUGCAGCUUUUAUGUUUAUUUUUCUUGCAACCAUAGAUCUAGUGUUAUCUGUAGCGUAUUCUAUCAAUUUUGCAUAAAAGUUUAUAAUUGUAUAAACCGUAUUUCUUGAAAUGAAUGUUCCUAGUUGGUUGUUCAUCAACAAUCUAUGAGUAACAGGAGAGCAUGACAUGAAUUCCUUAGCUUUCACACCUUUAAGAUCUCUAGCACAUUUUGGAAUUAUUGAUUUGUGACAAAUUUUAUGUUAAAAAGUCUCAUAUUUAAAAAAUCUUUGUUAAAAUUAGUCUUCAAAUAUUUGAAGUAAUCUUUGCACAUAAUCUUUAAUUCGAUUUGUAAAUAAUUUUUAAAUUUGAAAGGGGUAUUUGCACGCAAGUGUUAAAUUUAAGGAGGAUAAUUGAUACAUAAGUUUUAAAGUUGAGGGGGGUAUUUGCACAUAAGUAUUAAAGUUGAGGGGGGUAUUUGCCUAUUUUUAUAAUCACAUAGAUUUUAAACAAAAAAAUAAAGAAAAAAAAAUUAAAAAGAGAGUCAAUUACCCCGUUAUGACGUAGCAUAACUUUCAAUCCACAUGGAGGUGUCACGUGUACAGUUAACUGCCACGUCACAGGAUGUAACAGCCAAAACAGACUGAGGGGGUAAUUGAUUAACGUUUAAUAAUUUUGGGAGAUUUUUUUGAAGUUUUGCAAAAAUCAAAAAGAUUUUUUAUAAAAGUUAAAAUUUUAAGAGGGUUUUUGCCUAUUCACUAAAAAAACACUAAAACCAUCCUUUGUUGUUUUCUUUUUUAUUUAAUAUUUUUCCUUCCUCAUAAGAAUGUAGAAGUUUCUUAGAUUGCGAAGAGCCGUGCAAGUAGUAUCUAUCUAUCACCCUAUCUUUACAUUCACGGUGUUAACACAUUUCCAUUCCGUCCGCAUCAUCAUCAAAUCAAAUUCUAUUAACAAACAUUAAUUAAUAAUCAAACCCAAUUUCCUCAUUCACACGGAACUUUCUCAAACAUUUUACCUAACUAACUAGUACCUUCUCGUUCCUUCCUUUCUUUUUCUUCUUCUUUCUCUCUCUUCCUCAUCUUUAAUUCUCCACCGAACCUUCUAGAACCACAUCAAUAACUCAACAAAAAUCUCUCUUUCUCUUCCUCAUGGCUCCGUCGCCAGCUCCGGUGGAAAACAACGGCGAAACAACCACAACCACCGUUGCAACACCCACCCUUGAGUCUCAGAGAUCUAUUCCUACACCAUUUCUGACAAAAACAUAUAACCUCGUCGAUGAUAAAUCUAUCGACGAGGUUAUUUCGUGGAACGAAGAUGGAUCCACGUUUAUUGUUUGGAACCCUACCGUCUUUGCUAGUAAUUUGCUUCCUAAAUAUUUCAAACACAAUAAUUUCUCCAGCUUUGUUCGUCAACUCAAUACUUAUGUAAAUUCAAUUAUCUCUUCUAGUAUUAUUUUCUUUUAUGUUAUGUUUUUUGUUUUUUGUUUUUGUUUGAAUCUUAACUAAUGUUUCAAACGAGUUGAAGCGACAAGGACCGAAUAUUAACUAGUUGAUUUUUUUUGCAGGGAUUUAGAAAAGUAGUACCUGACCGGUGGGAAUUUUCAAAUGAGUAUUUUCGUAGAGGAGAAAAACGGCUUCUAUGUGAGAUUCAAAGGAGGAAGAUCUGUUCUCCAACACCUUCACCGUCGUCUGUUUCUGUUUCUGCUUCUACAAUAGCAGCAGAAACUACAAC
rnacentral:lncRNA from 1 species